rnacentral:lncRNA from 1 species
CUCAUCAGGAAAGGUCAGGAGGAAUGACAUUUUUCAUAGUCAGUCUAGUUUAAAACCUGGCAAUGGUUCAUGCAUAACAACAGCAACAAUUUGCAUUUAUAUAGCACCUUCCAUCCCUUAGGAUCCCGGAGUGCUUUAUAAACCAUGUGUGGGAAUAACUUCACUGAAAUGACUGUUAAAAAUCCCCCUUGAAGCCCCUCAGACUGGGGUACUGUGAAGCUCUUAUCUAGCAGCAAGCAGUUGAGCAUUGCUGCGCAGGCCACAGAGAAAGGCAUUGAGAAGUUACUGUUUCUUAUCAGAUGAAACUGGUAGAUGAAGGGAAAACAGUCAAAUGGCAUAUCAGAAAAUUUGGCUUGAAUUGACUUUGAGCUGACACUAUCCUUACAGACACAGAGUAGUAAGAAAUUUCAAGAUCACUGGUGAUCAGAGCUCUGGUUUUGUGCCUUUCUGCAGGACACAUCUGACAGUACAACUCAUUGCGCUGGCUCAGAGCAAACAGAUCUGUAUACUUAUUGCUCACGUUCUCCAGAAUCAUUAUAUACUGGCUUAGAGGUUUGUUAGUAAACUAGAUCUAGUGGUAUUUCUGUCCAAGUAUCAUGUGAGACUGUCCCUGCUUCAAUCUGACAAUAUUGGUAUGCAGUUUUGUAGCUACAAAGGGCCUUCUAGACCUCCAAAAAUCCCACAGCCAAGCUUGUGUAUAUUCUACUUGUUUAGAGAGAACAGAUAAAGCUUCUUUAUUAGUACAGAAUGAGAUGAAACUGAAGGUUGUGAAUUAAUGGAGGAAAUUCAGUGGGCUUGACUUAAUCAGAUAAAAGUGGGUAUGUUGGUCUCGUGACUAAAUUAAUCACUUCAGUUAGUGAAAAGUAUGUUCUAUACAUCACCACGUUGCCUUUUGGAAGUGCCUAGCAGUGACAUAACAAAGGAUACAAUGAUAGAGAGUCUUUGUACUAUCUGAACUUGUCUCAGCGUUUUCCAAGAAGGAAAUUGAAAGAUGAGGUAUUCUUCAUACUUCGAUCUUACUGCAUUGUGGAUGCCCAGGGUUCCUUCAGAAGAGGUGAGCUGAAUCUCAUGUCACUUGCGGAUAGCACAAGUGUCCUCCCAUGCUGAACGGUCUUUCGAGCAAAAGUGAGAGGAGUGGGUGUCCCGAGGCUGGGUCCUGACCUGGAAAGCACCUCUGUUGUUAUUUCUGGCUGUGGAAUAGAGGCAGAGCCCCCCAACAAACCAGCGUUUUGGACUAUGACUAGGAAGAAAAUUCCGUUCAGCUUCCUUGC